rnacentral:lncRNA from 1 species
CGGGCAAAUGCAACAAGGAUGACAAGAAGGCCCUGCUCGCCAUCAAGAAGGCUCUCGGCGACCCCUACGUCCUCAUCGCAUGGACCUCCCAGUAUGCCUGCUGCGACUGGGCCGGCGUCCGUUGCAACGAGACCACCAGCCGGGUCACCUCCCUCGACAUCGACGGCACCAACACCUCCUUCGCCAUCCCGUCCGCUGUCGCCCACCUCCCCUUCCUCACCUCCCUCACUUUCCACAAGAACCCCGGCCUCACCGGCCCCAUUCCCCCUGCCAUCGGCACCAUUACCGACCUCACCUUCCUGCGCCUCGACUGGAACAGCCUCUCCGGCCCCGUCCCGGACUUCCUCGCACGUCUCACCCGCCUUGAUUACCUCAAC